AUAACCCCCCGGCUGGUAGGAGAAUACUAGCAUAUCAAUAAGCGGAGGAAAAGAAACCCAACAGGGAUUGCCUUAGUAACUGCGAGUGAAGCGGCAAAAGCUCAAAUUUGAAAUCUGACGUUUUUGACGUUCGAAUUGUAAUUUGGAGGGAUAUCUUCGGAGCAGGCGCUGUCCUAAGUUCUUUGGAACCAGACAUCAUAGAGGGUGAGAAUCCCGUGCCUGGGUGGCUGUCCCGCUCCAUGUGAAGUGUCUCCGACGAGUCGAGUUGUUUGGGAAUGCAGCUCAAAAUGGGUGGUAAAUUUCAUCUAAAGCUAAAUAUUGGCGAGAGACCGAUAGCGCACAAGUAGAGUGAUCGAAAGAUGAAAAGCACUUUGAAAAGAGAGUUAAACAGUACGUGAAAUUGUUGAAAGGGAAGCGCUUGAGACUAGAUUCGACCGGCGGUCAUCAGCUACGUUUUUGCGUGGUGCACUUGCCGUCGGUUGAGCCAGCAUCGGUUUCGAUGGCGGGAUAAAGGUUUCAGGAAUGUGGCUCCUCAAUUUUGAGGAGUGUUAUAGCCUGGAGCGCAAUGCUGCCUGUCGGGACCGAGGACCGCGCUUUUGCUAGGAUGCUGGCUAAAAGGUCUUAAGCGGCCCGUCUUGAAACACGGACCAAGGAGUCUAACAUCUAUGCGAGUGUUCGGGUGGAAAACCCUUGCGCGUAAUGAAAGUGAACGGAGGUGGGAACCCCUUUGGGGUGCACCAUCGACCGAUCCCGAUGUUUACGGAAGGAUUUGAGUAGGAGCAUAGCUGUUGGGACCCGAAAGAUGGUGAACUAUGCCUGAAUAUGGUGAAGCCAGAGGAAACCUUGGUGGAAGCUCGCAGCGGUUUCUGACGUGCAAAUCGAUCGUCAAAUUUGGGGUAUAGGGGCGAAAGACUAAUCGAACCAUCUAGUAGCUGGUUCCUGCGAGGUUUCUCUCUCUCGCCUGAGAGAGAAAGACGAAACAGUGGUGUCUCUGUGAAGUGUGGUCGUCGCAGAUAUGUUAGAACUCUUUUGUCGCGCCCGCCAUUA
rnacentral:rRNA from 1 species